AUGAAACACGAAAGAGUAAAUAUUCGCCCGCGAAACCUUUAUUUAUUGGAUUACAAUCUUUUGUCGUAAUUUGAUAGAGGUCAAAAAAAAUAAGGAAAGGAUUCGUUAUGUUAUAAAAAUAAAAAAGAGAAACAUUACAUUAUCUAUAAAGAUACAUAAAUGUACACACACGUCUAGCUGUAUUGUAUAUCUUGUAUCUACAUCUUCCUUCCUAUGUAAGAAAUUCAAUAUCAAUAAAAGCCAUUACUUGGUGUAUUAUCUAUUAAUGUGUAUCUAUAAUAUUAUUGAAUUUGAAUCCUUUCAUUCGCGAGGAUUCAAAUAUAAAUUGACUUUUAAAAUUGUGACUAUUGACUUAUGGUGCUUGAUUGAUAAUGUAAAUAAUUUUUUUAUUUUUUAAAUUUACAAAUUGGUGUCCAUAAGAGAAUUCAACUUUUGAAUUUCUUUUUCUUGAAAGAUUUUUUGAUAUCAGUUUUUUCCUCUAGUUAAAUAAUAUUUUUUAGUUCAUGUGAGUGAUAUUUUGCUAAUUCGCACGCAAUUAAUCUUAAUCUUGAGCUAGAGAACUAAUUCUUUUCUAAUAUAUAAUAAUUAGAAUACUUAUUUUGAUAGUUGAAUAUUUUUUACAGUAUAAAAAAAAUAUCUAUUUUAAUUUUUAAAUGCCUUUUAAUUAGUCAUAUUUUUAAGUGUUUCUAAUAAUUGCUUAUUGAUUCCUUCACUAACCUAAAUUUAGGAAUCAAAUACUUUAUUAGUUGUAUCUGUAGUGAUAAAAGUUAACGAAAGCUUUCUUUCAUCAUCAGCGACGACGACGAUGAUGAUGUUACCGCCAAUGCUACAAAAGAUAGUGCUUUCACUCUAAUUAAUUUUUUAUAUUUUUUCAUUUGUAAAUUCUAUACUGAUGAUAAUAGAAAAAUAUUACGCAUUUUUUAAAAAUUACAAUGAGGUUUUUUUUUUUAUUUUAAUCUGAUUUAUUUAUUUUAGUAAGUUGGUUUAGAUAUUUCCAGAAAGAAAUAUAAUUUAAUUUCAUUCUUUAAUUUUUAAUUGUUCAAUACUGCCCACUGCAACGUGCGGGUUCCUUAACUAGUUUGGGAACGAAAAGUGUAAUUUAGCCUUGAAGUAAAUGUAAGGAAAGAAGUGAGGUCGCUAUAUUGUCUCUAGGUAAUAUUACAAAGACAAAAAUAUUAAAAAAAAAGAAAAUGUUUUAAUUGGAGAUACAAUAAUAUCAGAUAAAUGGCUAGGGCUACUAUACUCUUUUGAGUAUAGACCCCUCUGUAUUCAUAAGUUUUCGACCGUUCGAUGAAGGAAUAUACGGUUAGGAUAAUAAUGAUCUCCGAUUAGGAUGAUAGUGGUCUUCUAGGGCUGAGUGAGUGAUUGAUUGAAUAAUAUGAUCUAACGGGUGGAAAUGGUAAUGGAAUAGAUCUAACGGUCAAAAACUUAUGAGUAUAAUGGAAUCUAUACUCAUAAUAGUAUAGUAGCCGCACUCCGGAUAAAUUGUAUAUGUUGUAGAUAGCUAUAUAAAACUUUAAUUUAUUAUAACUUUUUAUG
rnacentral:lncRNA from 1 species